UACGAAGGGGUCUAGCGUUGUUCGGAUUUACUGGGCGUAAAGCGCACGUAGGCGGAUCGUUAAGUCGGGGGUGAAAUCCUGGAGCUCAACUCCAGAACUGCCUUCGAUACUGGCGAUCUUGAGUCCGGAAGAGGUGAGUGGAACUCCUAGUGUAGAGGUGGAAUUCGUAGAUAUUAGGAAGAACACCAGUGGCGAAGGCGGCUCACUGGUCCGGUACUGACGCUGAGGUGCGAAAGCGUGGGGAGCAAACAGG
rnacentral:rRNA from 1 species